AGCGGUAAGGGCCUUCGGGGGUACGACGAGCGGCGAAACGGGGGUGGAGUAAACACGUGGGGUGAUCUGCCCCUGCACUUCGGGGAUAAAGCCCUGGGAAACUGGGUCUAAUACCCGGAUAUGACCUCCUAUCGCAUGGUGGGUGGUGGAAAGAUUUAUCGGUGCAGGAUGGGCCCGCGGCCUAUCAGCUUGUUGGUGGGGUAAUGGCCUACCAAGGCGACGACGGGUAGCCGACCUGAGAGGGUGACCGGCCACACUGGGACUGAGACACGGCCCAGACUCCUACGGGAGGCAGCAGUGGGGAAUAUUGCACAAUGGGCGAAAGCCUGAUGCAGCGACGCCGCGUGAGGGAUGACGGCCUUCGGGUUGUAAACCUCUUUCAGCAGGGACGAAGCGCAAGUGACGGUACCUGCAGAAGAAGCACCGGCUAACUACGUGCCAG
rnacentral:rRNA from 1 species